UUAUCCAGUAGCCUACCCUUUCUUCUUAGUGUACAUAACGUGGGGUACCUUCUUUCUGUACCCAUUUUUUUUAUCGAUCAUUCUGUACAAGAAUGAAAGGAAAAGCUUCGUGGAAGAGGUCAGGGGCUGAAAAAUCGUUGAUUAAUCACAGGGCUUAAUCAUAUGAUGAGCCUGAUGAAGAAGAAUAUGUUCCUUCUUCUAUGGACAAGACAAUAUGUGAAAGGACAAGGGCAUUGGCAUUUGCACUAGUUGAUGGCAAGUAAAGUUGACUGAUCUCUAUGCUCGUAUAUGGGAUUAUGGUAAUGAAGUUUUGAGAUCAAACCGAUGAAGCACUGUUGAAAUUGGAGUGGAUGUCAAUCCGGAUGCAAAACAGACCUUAUGGUCAUUUUUGUACACUUUUUUAACAAAGUUAUAUCCGUGCAAAGCUCAAACCAAAAAGGCCAUCUGAAAGGAAUGGAGGCGGAUCUACAUAGGACAAACCUGUUAAUCUAGAAUACUAGCUUUAGGAACUAGAAUGGGACAAAAAUCUAGUCUUUUGUGAUGAUUUUGAUACUUGGAAUUCAAUAUUCCUAGUCUUUUGUUACUAAAAUUGAGUUAGUAUUAAUGAAAUUGUUGAUUUUA